AGAAUCAACGCUGGCGGCGUGCCUAACACAUGCAAGUCGAACGCGAAAGCCUCGCAAGAGGUUAGUAGAGUGGCAAACGGGUGAGUAACACGUGGGUGACCUGCCUCCGAGUGGGGGAUAACGUUCCGAAAGGAACGCUAAUACCGCAUGACAUCCUGUCCUUGGAAGGACGGAGAUCAAAGCUGGGGAUCGCAAGACCUGGCGCUUGGAGAGGGGCCUGCGUCCGAUUAGCUAGUUGGUGGGGUAAUGGCCCACCAAGGCUUCGAUCGGUA
rnacentral:rRNA from 1 species